AACUUUUUUGAAAGUCUGUAAUGAAAGUUGCAUUUUUGCUUACACGUAGCCGCUUUGACCCACGGUGAAUGGAAGUCAUAAAGCAGGGUAUAAAGGGAGUUUCUAAAUUGCCUGUUGUUGAGGCCAUUGAAGGCAACAGGAGAGUUCAGAAUGUGACCUUUGAGAGCAAAUUUGCCUCUGCUUCUUACUGAAUUUUGUGUUGCGUUUUUCUGUAUAUAUAUUUUUUUGACUCAGAAAUACAAAUUAUAAUGAAGAAUCACAGGAGCUAAAAUAGUCUGAAAAAGAAGAGUCCAAAUCCUUGCCUUUGGAAGGCCCAGCUCGUUACCCAACUCCUGAGCAAAGAAAAAGAAUAAAGGCUUCAGUCACCACA